rnacentral:rRNA from 1 species
CAGGCCUAACACAUGCAAGUCGAACGGAUCCUUCGGGAUUAGUGGCAGACGGGUGAGUAACGCGUGGGAAGCUACCUUGUGGUAGGGAACAACAGUUGGAAACGACUGCUAAUACCCUAUGAGCCCUAUGGGGGAAAGAUUUAUCGCCAUGAGAUGUGCCCGCGUUAGAUUAGCUAGUUGGUAAGGUAAUGGCUUACCAAGGCGACGAUCUAUAGCUGGUCUGAGAGGAUGAUCAGCCACACUGGGACUGAGACACGGCCCAGACUCCUACGGGAGGCAGCAGUGGGGAAUAUUGGACAAUGGGGGCAACCCUGAUCCAGCCAUGCCGCGUGAGUGAUGACGGCCUUAGGGUUGUAAAGCUCUUUCAGCAGUGAAGAUAAUGACAUUAACUGCAGAAGAAGCCCCGGC